rnacentral:rRNA from 1 species
AUUGAACGCUGGCGGCAGGCCUGACACAUGCAAGUCGAGCGAGCGGCGGACGGGUGAGUAAUGUCUGGGAAACUGCCUGAUGGAGGGGGAUAACUACUGGAAACGGUAGCUAAUACCGCAUACCAUCAGAUGUGCCCCGAUGGGGUUGGCUAGUAGGUGGGGUAACGGCUCACUUGGGCGACAAUCCCUAGCUGGUCUGAGAGGAUGACCAGCCACACUGGAACGGAGAAACGGUCCAGACUCCGACGGGAGGCAGCAGUGGGGAAUAUUGCACAAUGGGCGAAAGCCUGAUGCAGCCAUGCCGCGUGUGUGAAGAAGGCCUUCGGGUUGUAAAGCACUUUCAGCGGGGAGGCGUUACCCGCAGAAGAAGCACCGGCUAACUCCGUGACAGCAGCCGCGGUAAUAC